UACAGAGGGUGCGAGCGUUAAUCGGAAUUACUGGGCGUAAAGCGCGCGUAGGCGGCUUUGCAAGUCGGGUGUGAAAUCCCCAGGCUUAACCUGGGAACUGCAUUCGAGACUGCAUUGCUAGAGUAUGGGAGAGGGAAGUGGAAUUUCCGGUGUAGCGGUGAAAUGUGUAGAGAUCGGGAGGAACACCGGUGGCGAAGGCGGGUCUCUGGGCAAUUCCUGACGCUGAGGCGCGAAAGCGUGGGGAGCAAACGGG
rnacentral:rRNA from 1 species